ACUGCAAUGCAAGUUGCAAGCAGCAAGGUAUUCACUGUGGUGUGGUGUGCGCUGAUGAGUCGUGUCUCGUCCAUCCUUUGCUUGCAGAGUUGCAGGAAGAAGAUGAGGGAGUAGGAUGGAAGUUCAUGUUGUGCGUUCUGGUGUUCCGACUGGCCACGGAAGAUCGAAUAAACAUUGGUGAAAGCCCCAUUUCUACUCAUAAUGUUUGCGGCUGUUUCUUUUGGUGCAUGUGCAUCAGGGAGUUGCGUUCCUCCCAGAACCCCUUCCUAUUAUGAUAGAAGACAUUGGGCUCCGUCCAUAAUCAUCCAUUGGCGACAAAGUUUCUUGUACAUUGUACACAUGUAAAACAAUCACACCACCAUGAACCAGCCGCCAUCAGUGUUUUCUGAUUUCAUUGUUUCAGACUUCAAAGCAUUGUAAAAUCAGUUUGUGAUGGUUUGCUGA